rnacentral:rRNA from 1 species
UACCAGCACCCCGAGUGGUCGUGACGAUUAUUGGGCCUAAAGCAUGCGUAGCCGGUUUUACAAGUCCUCCGUUAAAUCCAACUGCUUAACAGAUGGGCCGCGGAGGAUACUACAAGUCUAGGAGGCAGGAGAGGCAAGCGGUACUCAGUGGGUAGGGGUAAAAUCCGUUGAUCCAUUGAAGACCACCAGUGGCGAAGGCGGCUUGCCAGAAUGCGCUCGACGGUGAGGGAUGAAAGCUGGGGGAGCAAACCGG